ensembl:lncRNA
GAUCUCUAGUAUAAUUACUGUAUAUCUAUACAGACUGACCUGUACUAGAGACAAGGAGCAGAGAUCUCUAGUAUAAUUACUGUAUAUCUAUAUUGUCCUUCCCCCUCUAUCUACUGCCCCCCGGAGCGGGACUACCCCCUUUCAUUUAUUACCACCCGAACACUCCAUGUGGCAGUUGUAGUUUGUGAAUGUGUGAGUGUUUGUGUUGAAGUGUGUGUAACAUGCAUCUCGUACGGGGAGUGUGUGUGUGUGUGUUUAUGUAUGUGUGUGUAUGUGUGUGUGUCAGUUGUUCUGUAUGUUCUCACUCCAACAAAGCUACACAUACUUCCCAACACACACACUAUACACAGUACGAAAGGCCUUAGCAGACAUUGUGGUGCACUUAGUAACAGUAGCUCCUAGCCCCUGUACCCCCUGAUUAGUAUGUGAACAUGGCAGGGUGAAGGUAAACAGUCAGUCUCCCUGGGGAGACUCAGGGGACAAAACCCAAACUGUUACCAGCAAGCACAACUUCCUUUAUAUCCCUGGCAGAGAGAGGGGACCCCCAAAUCCCUCUGUACUGGAGAGGGGACCCACAAAUCCAAUUAUCCCCCUGAAGGCCAGACCAGACCCCCACUCACAUCCUCACUACACCCCACGCCAAUGUACCCCGACACAACUCCUACUGUCAGACAACCCCCCCCCGCCACCCCGGUCCCCGUUUCCCUGGACGACCAGCUCAAACAUCUCACAUAUACGUAUUCCUUUACCCUUCACAUAGCGACGCUCCCUCCCUGACUGACUGGCUGGCUGGCUGGCUGGCUGGCUGGCUGACUGACUGGCUGGCUGGCUGACUGGGGGAAGGUGGGGGCAGAGGUUUAAGAUGUUUUGGGAUUCAGGUCAGCAUUGUUGUAUUUCCUCUGACCUGAGCUUGAACACUAGUGAACCAGUGGUUGACCUUUAUUAUUGCAUAAAACACGUCACUCUAAUGGUCUGUGACACUACUCCCCGUGUCCCUCUCUCUCCCUCUCUCUCCCUGUCUCCCUCUCUCCCCCCUCUCCCUCUCCCUCUCUCCCCCCGUCUCCCUCUCUCUCGCUCUCCCCGUCUCCCUCUCUCUCCCCCUCUCCCUCUCUCUCCCUCUCUCUCCCUCCCCCUCUCUCCCUCUCCCUCUCUCUCCCCUCCCCUCUCCCUCUCUCUCUCUCUCCCUCUCCCCGUCUCCCUCUCUCUCCCUCUCCCCCUCUCUCUCUCCCUCUCUCUC